UGUGUGUGACUAAUUCCUUGAUAGGUUCAG
rnacentral:piRNA from 1 species